rnacentral:rRNA from 1 species
UACAGAGGUUCCAAGCGUUGUUCGGAUUCACUGGGCGUAAAGGGUGCGUAGGCGGUCGGGUCAGUCUGAUGUGAAAUCUCGCAGCUUAACUGCGAAACUGCAUUGGAACCUAUCUGACUAGAGGAAUGGAGGGGAGACUGGAAUACUUGGUGUAGCAGUGAAAUGCGUAGAGAGCAAGUGGAACACCAGUGGCGAAGGCGAGUCUCGGGACAUUUCCUGACGCUGAGGCACGAAAGCCAGGGGAGCAAACGGG